rfam:Danio rerio chromosome 25, GRCz11 reference primary assembly.
CCAACGGCUCUUUUCAGAGCCACCAACUUUUUCUUUGAAAGAGUA